AAUUGCACGCGAUGUAAAAAAUACAUCCUAACAUCGGUUUAUGAAAUAUCGAUUUCUAUUGUGAUUAUAAACAUCGGUCGUUAAAUUAACCGAUGUGUAAAGUCUCGUUCAAAAAUUUUGAAAAAACGCGGAGGGACUAAGUUGAAAAUUUCAGAAACGCGGGGGGACCAAAAUAUUCAUUCCCCCCAACACUUAGACUUUUUGUUCACUUGUCUGAAACUUUCGAACCCCAACUCUCACUUGACUACGAUUGACACCAGCACAGACGCCUCGAGCUCGUUCUCUGGCCUGAGCUCGUUCUCCGGGUUCAGCUCUUUGUUUCUCACUCUUCCCUGAAACCCGAGCGCUCUCCUCCUUCCUCUCCUGCUCUCUUUCCAAGGCUACUGUCUCUCCCUCGUUAACCGCCUCUGUUCGCUCACCGGCGCCAUCGCCUCUGACGGCGCUUCUCGUCCAACGCCGCCACGUCCUUGCUCCGAGAUCUGAACCCCAACUGGUCUAACCGGCCUCCAAGGUGUCUAUCGUCCUCGAUUGGUGCGACUUCGAGCACCAAAUGCCCGGGACGGAGUAACCGUACACAACUGCGAUGACGACGGCGCAAUCGGCAUCAGGUACUCUGUUCUAUGUUUCCGGGUUUGCAGAUUCUGGGUUCUUCCUGCUUCCUCUCUGUCUCUACCCAUCUCUCUUCUGCUUAAAGAUAAAAUCGCAUAAUUGCAGCAGCCAUGGCCACCUCGUCGCCCUUGGAUUCUCCAACGACCGACUCUGAAGCCGCCGACACGGAGCCAAACCCUAACCCUAAUCCUUCAAACGCAUUGUUCCCUGUUUCCCCAAACGGCUUUGCUGUCUGCCUUCUCAGGUUCGCUGGGGACUCCGGCGGUGCAUUCAUGAGCUCUAUCUUUGGCUAUGAUGCCAGUCUGGAAUGCAUGAUGUUGCUCCUUAAUAUUAUCCUUCUCGGGGCAGAAGCUUUAAUGAUUCUGAACCUUAUAUUAACAACAAGCAAAGAAGAAAGGGCUUGGUUACCAGAAAACAACCUCCUGAAAAUUUUUGCAGCUGACAAAGAGAAUGCCAGUUUGUGGUGCGCAAGAGACCACGUAACAAAAAGGAAUUGGCAAAGAAUGAGGAAGACAUAAUAGACACACUUUCCAACUCUGUAACAGUUCAUGAGACUAAGCUCAAGGUUGACAACAUAUGUGGAGAAACAUGAGUUUGUUUUUGAUGCAGUGAUGAAUGAGGAAGUGUCUAAUGAUGAGGCUUUGUGCUCAACUUGGAAGGAUGAUGGGGCGACUGUCUUCUCUUGAGGCUGUGACAAGCAAGCUAAGAUGUGGUCCUUGGCUACUAACCAAAUAAUGACUGUUGCUCUGCAUGAUGCCUCCAUUAAAGACAUGGCUGGGAUCCCCAAGUUGAACCUCUUAGUCACUGGAAGCUUGGACAAGACUGUAAAGGGCUUUCACUGCAUUAUUUGCACAUGCAGUUGUAUUCACAGUUGUAUUGGCCAUAUUCUUUGCAAUCUCUCUGUGAAAUUUAACUGCUCAUAUUCGUUUGUAGGUAAGCCUUGAUAUGGACCAAAUGAUGAGGCUGCUUCAUUACUGUGGAUUACCAGUAGACGAUGUUGACUUUAUCAACUCUGAUGGGAAGAUAAUGAACAAACUAUUAUUGAAGUGGUCGACUACUUACAGACUUUGCAGUAGAUUCCGACUAGUUUCUUGAUUUUGAGUAAGGCUUGUGAUUGUUUACCUUUUUGUAGUAGAUGAAGUGACUGCAACAAUUGUGAACAAAACCGCAAUAGUAAUUGCUAGAUACUUGCCUAGCUUGUAGUAGGUUAAUUGGGGUUUUAUUUUGCCUAUUUUGUGAACUGUCAAGGAUAAUGAUUUUGGACAGAAUACCUCAAUAUUCAAAUUACUCUUGUCAAA